rnacentral:lncRNA from 1 species
UUGGCUUGCGAAUUAUUUCCCAAGUUAUCUAAAGUUGCUUGCUAAAAUUGUUUAACUUCUGAUAUACAUUUUAAAAUAAAGUAAUCUACUCCUGAGUAAACGGCUAAUAUAAUCCCGGGUUUUAUUAAUUCAAUGAAACGGUUUUCGUCGCUGUUUUGGAUUAGUGAAUCUUUCAAUUACCUCAAUUUCAUGCACAAGUUUUACUGUUUAUAUUGAAGAAAAGUUCCGGCUUCGCUUGUGCGGGAAUUACUUUCAUCACGA